CCAUGGGCCCAGCCCUGCGCCGCCCACCGCUGCCGCCCAGAGAGGCUCAAACCGCAAGGAAGCCACAAGGGCUCACGAGGCGGGGGCCUCGGCCUGCGUGGGUUUGGGUCCGGGCGGGCUGCCUGGAGGAAGGCGCUCUGGAGCAGUCCAGAGCAUUGCCGGAGGCAGCACAUGGGAGUCCGGGGUCUGCCCUGCCGUCUGUGAGGCCUGUCUCUGGCCGUCCCCCCCACAACCCCUGACGCCGGAAUCCCGACCAGUGGGCGGGCCGCAGCCUGGAACCCGCCGCCCAGAGUAACCAGGCAAACAGAACUCUGUAGGACUCUGAACCUGUUCUCCGGGUGCACCGCCAGUGCUCCCACCCGCUGCCCUCCUGGCCUGCCCGGGCCGGGACCCCUGCCUCCCCAUGCAGCACCCCAAACCCUUCUAUGCGCCCACAGCUCCCCAAGAAGGCUUCAGCCCCCAGGGCCCAGAUGGCACUGAGGGGCCAGGCAGUCAGCCUCUCCCCACCUGCACGGAGCCUCUUCCUACUGUGGGUUCCUCCAACCUGUAUCAGCCCCUAAACCCGGAGAAAGAGGUGUUUCCAGCCCCUCCGGCAGGUUUCCACAUGGCGCCCUGCGGGUGCUUCUUUGACCCCCGCAUCUACCGAAUCGAGUGGGCCACCACCGACUUCGGCCAGUCGUCCCUGUACGAGCUGACGGCAGUGGGCGGCCGGGGGCCCCCCGGGGGUCCGGCGGGGGGCCCCGCCUCGCCAGGCACCUACCUCCUAGAGCCCCAGCACUACCUCAAAGCCCCAGUGCCGGCCCCACCACCCCCGCCCUACCCGCAUUACCUGCCCGUGCCCGGGGGCCCCCAGUACCUCAUGCCCUACUUCCCCCCCGAGGGGCCGGGGCCGGAGGCUCUGGGCUUUGUGGGGGAAGGGGGGCCCCCCGCCUUCAUGGAGCUGCCCCCACCCCUGCUCAAGGAAGGCCCAGGGCCGCCCCCACCUGCCCCCAAGGAGAACAAGCUGCCUCCCGUGCUCAUCACGCUCCCCGCUGAGGCCGCGCUGCCCCCCGGCGCCUACGGCCACCUCCAGGGCAGCCUCAGUCAGCUCCGUGGGCCCGCGUGCCCGAGAUCCUGGACACCGUGUCCAACGUGGACUGCCUCUUCAGCUUCAAGGCGCUUGAUGAGGAGCCGGCGCCCCGCCCAGGGCCCCCCGCCGCCAACACCGUGGCCCCUGCCUUGCGACCUGAGCUGCCCGGCGGGAGGAAGGCCGGCACCUCGUCCGCCAGGAAGGGGAGGCGGGGAGGCAAGGGCAAGCAGGCUGCGGGCCCGGCCAGCGCCGCCCCCUCGGGGCCCAGGCAGGACCUGGGAGCCGGCCCCCAUUAAAAUGGAUUUGACCUCUCGGCUCACUGUCGGCUCGGUCGCAUCGGGGCCCAGGGACGGUGGGCUGAGGCUGGCUGUGGGGGGCUGUCCCCUCCUCCGCCCUGUCGCGGGGGCGCUGGUUCGCACGCGAAGGCCCAGCAGCCCCUCGGCGCCUCCUGGGUGCUGGGCUUCCAGAGCUGAGCUGCGGAGGCUUAGAGUCCCGGGGAAUCCUAAACCCGCCCUCUCCGAGCCCUGGAAAAUUGGGAGUCAGCCUGCAGGGAGGAUGGGCGCUUGCGGAAGGUGGGGAGAUGCCGUCCGUUUCUGUAAGGAUCUGUUGCCCGAGUGGUGAACGGGUUGCCCAGAGAGGGGUGGGAGAUGAGGCCUCCCCCCACCCCCCGCCUUCUCCCCCUGCAGAGGAGGAAGGGACCCUCCUGCCCCAGGGCCUGGGCUGGGUCCCUGGGACCUUCGUUGUUGGGCUCUGCCGGGGUAGCCCUGGGGGUGGCUGGGGUGGGCCCCCCUUCCCUGAACCCUCAUUCCCAAGCUCGGGGGAGAGACAGCUGCUGGAACCGUGCUGCGGGCUGUGUGGCCGUGUCUGCGCUCACCCCGCCCGGCCCUGUUCUGGGCCUGGACAGAGAGGCCGGGAGCUCACUUCGCCCGGCUUCCUUCUGAGGCCCCCUCUCCCCGCAGCCCCAUCUGGGGUAUCUUUGAGACGAAACUCCAGGGCAUUCGGUGAAGGGAAGGCCCUUGGCACGUGACGUAAGAGGAGGGGUUCGGUUUCCCUGGAGAAACGUUCGCUGCCAAGAGACGCCCGCCCAGGGAGGGCGGGAAUGCUUUGUUUUAAGACAACUCUGGGCUCCUCCGCUGUGCGCUCAGCGCCUGCCUUGGAAACACGGGCAAAGGUUUCUGAGUCUCCCGCACAGAUUCAUCCAGAACUCCUUGAGCCUGAGGCCUUUCUCGGUGUGCAGCAGUUUGGGGAUCAUGUAGGCCGACCACACGGACAGCAGCAUGGCCAUUAUGAGCGGGAUGAUGGUGACCGUCGUCGGGAUGAUGGACGGGGGCAAGGCCCCGUAGACGUAGACGCUGAAGGUGGUCUCCAGGGGACGUCUGGACACAGGCAUGCACAGGGAGAACAUCAGUGUGAAGACUGAGGCAGAAACUGGGGUGUGUGUCUACAGGCCAAGGAACGCCAAAGGGGGCCAGCAAACCAUGAGCAGCCAAGCCUGGAACAGAGUCUCGCGCUCAGAAGGAAACAGCCUUGCCAGCACGUUGGUCCCAGACGCCUGGGAAAGUUCCUCCAGAGCUGGGGAAGCAUAAAUCUCCGGUUCGUGGUGUUUUUGCUACAGCAGCCCCGGCCAGCUAAGAUACCUGGGAAAUCUGAAGAUACAGAGGAGACCCAGCCACCUUCCUGGGACUUCUUGUUGGCAUGGCCACCGAGCAUGGUCGUGGCACCAAGAUGUGGUUGGGUGGGGGCAGGAGCUUUUCUCCCCUGUCUUCAGAUCCCAGGAUUUCAUAUAAAGGGGGAACCUCCCUGAAAACUCAACAGGUACAUCAGGCUGCCUGCCUGAGCUGAAGACCUCUCUCUUCUGCACUAUUUGAUGGUGGACCCAGAAGGGAGGGAGCUGGGCUUGUAGACAACAGAAGAGAAAGAAAAUUUUAAAGCAAGAAAGUCAAAGUAAUAGCCCAGCAAGAUGAAAAAUAAAGGACUGGGGCGCCUGGGGGGGCUCAGUUGGUUGAGCAUCUGACUCUUGAUUUCUGCUCGGGUCACGACCCC